rnacentral:rRNA from 1 species
GAUGAACGCUGGCGGCGUGCUUAACACAUGCAAGUCGAACGAUGAAGCCCAGCUUGCUGGGUGGAUUAGUGGCGAACGGGUGAGUAACACGUGAGUAACCUGCCCUUAACUCUGGGAUAAGCCUGGGAAACUGGGUCUAAUACCGGAUAGGAGCGUCCACCGCAUGGUGGGUGUUGGAAAGAUUUAUCGGUUUUGGAUGGACGCGCGGCCUAUCAGCUUGUUGGUGAGGUAAUGGCUCACCAAGGCGACGACGGGUAGCCGGCCUGAGAGGGUGACCGGCCACACGGGGACUGAGACACGGCCCAGACUCCUACGGGAGGCAGCAGGGGGGAGUAUUGCACAAUGGGCGCAAGCCUGAUGCAGCGGCGCCGCGGGAGGGAUGACGGCCUGCGGGUUGUAAACCUCUUUCAGUAGGGAAGAAGCGAAAGUGACGGUACCUGCAGAAGAAGCACCGGCUAACUACGUG